GAUGAACGCUGGCGGCGUGCUUAACACAUGCAAGUCGAACGGAAAGGCCCUGCUUUUGCCGGGUGCUCGUGUGGGGAGGGGGUGUGAAACAUGUGAGUAUCCUGCCCUUGACUGUGUGAUAACUUCAGGAAACUGCGGCUAAUACCGGAGAGGAGAUCCUGCUGCUUGGUGGUGGUUGGAAAGUUUCGGCGGUUGGGGACGGACUCGCGGUUUAUCAGCUUGUUGGUGAGGUAGUGGCUUACCAAGGCUUUGACGGGUAGCCGGCCUGGGAGGGUGACCGGCCACAUUGGGCCUGAGAAAGGACCAGGACUCAUACGGGAGGAAAGAGUGGAAACUUGUUCAAGAUGUGCCGAAGGCUGAUGGAGGAUCUUCGGGUGCGGGAUGACGGUCUUCGGGUAGUAAAGCGCUUUCGCCUAUAACGUAGCGUGAGUGACGUUACUGGGUAAAGAGGCACCGGCUAACUACUU
rnacentral:rRNA from 1 species